rnacentral:rRNA from 1 species
AAAGGGUGCGUAGGCGGUCUGAUAAGUCAUCUGUGAAAUCUAUGGGCUCAACCCAUAGUCUGCAGGCGAAACUGUCGGGCUUGAGUAUGGGAGAGGUGAGUGGAAUUUCCGGUGUAGCGGUGAAAUGCGUAGAUAUCGGAAGGAACACCUGUGGCGAAAGCGGCUCACUGGACCAUUACUGACGCUGAUGCACGAAAGCUAGGGGAGCAAACAGGAUUAGAUACCCGGGU